rnacentral:misc_RNA from 1 species
AAAAUAAUCCUACCCUUUGUGAAUUUUGUUUGUUUGAAUAAUUUUUUUUUUUAAAAAUUAUUGGAGUCUUUCCCUUUAGAGUUUGCUUUUGAGUUUGUAAAAGAACUCGAAAACAUCUAAAGGGGAUGGUCAAUAAUUUUUUUUGAAAAAAGACAUUUUUUAAAAUUAAACUUUUUGUAUUCAUUUGUCUAAAAAUUAUUUUUUAUAAUAUAAAACAACUUUUGACAAUGGAUCUCUUGGUUCUCGCAACGAUGAAGAACGCAGCAAAAUGCGAUAAGUAGUGUGAAUUGCAGAAUACGUGAAUCAUCGAAUCUUUGAACGCAUAUUGCACUUUUUUAGUUUACUAAAAAGUAUGUCUGUUUGAGUAUCAGUAAAAUAUUCUCAUAAAAAUCAUUGUGUAUUUUUAUGGUUAUGAGCGUUUUACAACGAUACAAGUUGUUUCACUUUAAAUUUUUUUUUAAUAUUGAAAUUUUUCUAAUUUUAAUAAUUAAAAUUGGAUAAAAUUUUCCCGUCAAAAGGAAUAACCUAAACAAUUUAAAUGAUUAAUUUUAGCAAAAUUUUCGAAAAAAGGAAAAUUUUAUUAAAAUAACUUGAUCUCAAAUCAGAUAAGAGUACCCGCUGAACUUAAGCAUAUCAAUAAGCGGAGGAAAAGAAACUAACAAGGAUCCCUUAGUAACGGCGAGUGAAGCGGGAAGAGCUCAAAUUUGAAAUCUUCAAGGUUUUACCUUGACGAAUUGUAGUUUAAAGAAGUGUUUUCUGCUGAAGUUUUGGUAAAAGUUCUUUGGAAUAGGACAUCAUAGAGGGUGAGAAUCCCGUAUUUGACCAUUAUUUUCAGCUUUGUGAUACACUUUCAAAGAGUCGGAUUGUUUGGGAAUGCAGUCCAAAAUGGGUGGUAAAUUUCAUCUAAAGCUAAAUAUUGGCGAGAGACCGAUAGCGAACAAGUACCGUGAGGGAAAGAUGAAAGAACUUUGAAAAGAGAGUUAAACAGUACGUGAAAUUGUCAAAAGGGAAGCGUUUGACACCAGUGUUGUUUUCCCGAAAAUCAAUUAAAAAUGGCUCGAUUUUGUAUUGCUGAGACCUUAAAAGCUCACUGUACAUUUUUCGUGUCUUUUUAAUGCACUUUUCGUUUAACAAGUCAACAUCAGUUUCUUUUGUUGUAAAAGGGUCAUUGGAAGGUGGCUUUCUUUUCGGAGAAAGUGUUUAUAGCCUUUGGCCCUGCAAUCGGAAGAGACUGAGGUCCGCAGCGUAGACUCUUCGGGGUUAGAUACAUUUGUGCUAAGUUAUAGCUUUUAUAGACAACUUGUUGACUAUAAUUAGUCUUGUAGCUUACUCGCUUAUGCUAUUU